GUGAGAAUGCUGAUAAAUACACAAGAAGAAAAUGCAAAUAAGGUCACAUGUUCCUCAGAGAGAUCUCUAGAGAUUAUCCAGACACCCAAACCAUGUCCUCAUUAUAUAAUAUAACAGCAGCAGUCCAUCUACUAUUCAGUUUUUGGAUGAUUCUACUGGAAAAUGCUUACCAGAACGGUUUAUGAAUGUUUUGAAUGAGAAUAAAAUAAAGCUUCAGGACUGCAGUGACCAGAGCUAUGACAACAGUGCGAAUAUAAAAGCAAGAAACAGUGGCAUACAGGCAAGGAUCCUUGCGCUGAAUCUAAGAGCUUUCUUCGUGCCUUGUGGCUGCCAUUCCCUCUACCCGAUUGUGUCAGAUGCAGCGUCGUCAUCUUCAGAUUCAGUAUCUCUCUUCAGAGUACUGCAAAGGAUCUACAUCCUGUUUUCAGCAUCAAUCAUCAGGUGAAAGAUCCUCAUGGACAAUGUUACAAAUCUGCCAACAAAGCCACUAAGUGACACUCGCUGGGAGAGGCUCGUUUACAGCAUAAGGCCAGUGAGGUUCUAAGUGACUGAGGUUUACGAUGCUUUGAUGGAACUGGUACAGUUGAGUAAAGUGAAGGCCAGAAUAUGACACAAGGUGCAAGGUCUGGCAAACAAGAUAAUUGAAUUCAAAUUUCUGGUCUCAACUGUGGUUUGGCACGAUAUCCUGUUCCAAGUAAAUGUUGUAAGCAAAGCAUUAAAAAUCCCAGUCAAUGGACAUUGCGACUGCUAUAAAUUUUGAUGAGAAGCUGCCUAGAUUUCACUGUGGCCUACAGAAACAACAGAUUUGAAGAUGCCAUUGCUGCUGACAAAGAAAUGAUGGAAAACUUAAGAGCUGAGUCUGUCUUCAAGGAAACUCAUAUUCAGAAGAAGAAGAGACGGUUUGGUUACAAGUGCAGAGAUGAGGUGAUGGGAAGCUCGGAGGAGAAAUUCAAGAGUGAGAUUUUUUGCUUGCUUAUUACACUGCUCGAGUGUCCAUUGAAGAAAGGUUUGGUCAAAUGAAGCACCAUGGAAAUACCCUGGGGGGGUUGGAUGAUCUUAGUAAGCUGCCAGUGGAUGGGAAAACCUUCUUGAAAAAUUGAAGGACCUUCACAGAUGCUGGCACAUGGGGAAUGUUCAGAUAUCAAUGAUAAAGACUCUGUGUCGAAUUGGACAACAUCUGUGACAUUUUGCCACACGUGAAUAACUUUCCACUCCAAGUUCUCCAGUUCAUUCAUUGGAGAGCUAAAGGAUACUUUUCCUAAUGUGUGGAUAGCUUUGAGGAUUCUGCUCAUGCUGCCUGUCACAGUUGCGAGUGGUGAGCGCAGCUUUCUGAAGCUCAAGCUCAUUAAAACAUAUUUUUGAUUGAUGAUAGCCAAUGAGAGACAGACAUCAUAUGCAAUUUUACCACUUGAAAUUGACAUUGGCCAGUGUUUGGAUCUCUCUGACACUGUGCUUCAGUUUACGAGGGCAAAAGCAAGAAAAGCGACUUUCUGAAUUAAAGGACUAUGGAAUUAUCCUAUAACCACAAGGAACAUAGAAGGAGGCAGCAAAAAAUUUCACACCAAAAAGGUUCAGACAGAGACUUCCUGUGUGACCUUGGGCAAGUCACCUAUUCUACCUUGUGCUUCAGUUUCCCAUCUGUAAAAUGGAGAAAAUACUUCCUUCUCUUACAGGGAUGUUGUGAGGAUGACAUACAUGAAUGAUUGAGGGCGAGGUGCUACAACUCUAAGAACAGCUGAGAGCAAAGAUUUCCAGAAGCAGGAACCUAACUUCAUACCGAGGCAUCUACAUGCAUGGCCUGAUUUUCAAAAAUGCUGAACACCCAACAGUUCUUCUGCAAGUUAAUGAAAAUGUACACCACACUCCACACCAUACACUACUUAAUCACCAUUGAAUGACCAAGUCCCAAAAUCUCAAUCCAGCAGCCCUUGAUUAGGGCUAAAUUAUACCCCCUGUACAAAAUAUCCAUGGAGGGGAAUGAAAAAUUCCACUAGUUUCAUCUUGAAGAGUUUCUGACAAAUCACCCUGGGGGAGGUGAGAUUCAUUCUCCCUCAUCUCCCAUGGAACAAGCAAGAAAAAUGCACUCACAAGAUAGCUGGGAGUGCUAGUUACUCCCUAACCCUAGAGAAAUACCAUGGGGCUGCCAGAAAAUGAGUGAAUUCUUUUCCAGGUAUAUGACUAGUAGGUCUUGACCACAUGCUCAGCAUUUAACUGAUUGCAAUAUUUGGGGUCGGAAAGGAAUUUUCCCCCAGCUCAGAGACCUUGUUUUUUGUUUUUUGCUUUCCUCUGCAG